rnacentral:rRNA from 1 species
CCCGCUGAACUUAAGCAUAUCAAUAAGCGGAGGAAAAGAAACUAACAAGGAUUCCCCUAGUAACGGCGAGUGAAGCGGGAUGAGCUCAAAUUUAAAAUCUGGUGGUCUUUAGGCCAUCCGAGUUGUAAUCUAGAGAAGCGUUUUCUGUGCUGGACUGUGUACAAGUUUCCUGGAUACGGAACAUCAUAGAGGGUGAGAAUCCCGUCCUUGGCACAGACUCCCAGUACUUUGUGAUGCGCUCUCAACGAGUCGAGUUGUUUGGGAUUGCAGCUCAAAAUGGGAGGUAAAUUCCUUCUAAAGCUAAAUAUUGGCGAGAGACCGAUAGCGAACAAGUACCGUGAGGGAAAGAUGAAAAGCACUUUGGAAAGAGAGUUAAACAGUACGUGAAAUUGUUAAAAGGGAAACGAUUGAAGUCAGUCGCGUCUACUUGGACUCAGCCUUGCCUUGGCUUGGUGCAUUUCCUUGUGGACGGGCCAGCGUUUAUGUUGGUUGCUGGAAAAGGUACAGGGGAAUGUGGCUCUUUUGGGAGUGUUAUAGACCUCGAUUCGGAUACGGCGAUUGGGAUUGAGGAACUCGGCGCUCUGCGUCCAGGAUGCUGGCAUAAUGGCUUUAAGCGACCCGUCUUGAAACACGG